rnacentral:rRNA from 1 species
UACGUAGGGGGGCAAGCGUUGUCCGGAAUCAUUGGGCGUAAAGAGCGCGUAGGCGGCCCUGUAAGUCCGCUGUGAAAGUCAAAGGCUCAACCUUUGAAUGUCAGUGGAUACUGCCGGGCUAGAGUCCGGAAGAGGCGAGUGGAACUCCUGGUGUAGCGGUGGAAUGCGCAGAUAUCAGGAAGAACACCAACGGCGAAGGCAGCUCGCUGGGACGGUACUGACGCUGAGACGCGAAAGCGUGGGGAGCGAACAGG